rnacentral:tRNA from 2 species
UCGGGGGUCGUCUAAAGGCAGGACAGCAGCCUUUGAAGCUGUGAAUGAUGGUUCGAUUCCAUCCCCCCGAACCA